rnacentral:misc_RNA from 1 species
AAGUCGUAACAAGGUUUCCGUAGGUGAACCUGCGGAAGGAUCAUUACUGAGUUAGGGUCUUCAUGGCCCGACCUCCAACCCAAUGUUUAAUCAUACCACGUUGCUUCGGCGGGCCCGUCCCCUUGGGGACCCUGGAGGGUCUCACCCCCCUCUGGCCUGUCGCCCGCCGGCAGCCAUCACACCAAAACUCUUGAUCAACCAUGUCGUCUGAGUCUCAAUUUAUAAUUAAAUUAAAA